AUGGAAAUAGCUUUCAGACCAAAGAACCCAAUUGUACAAAGCAGCAGUCUGGAACUUGGCUUGGGGAUAUGUUACAGCAUCAAGCGUUCAGCUGUCCAUCAGGAUCAGUGAACCCUUUUGCAUGCUUUUAGUGCCUCACCCUGAAGGUAGGGCUCAAUCAAAGUGGCCAAAACAUUCCUAACCGCACAUUUUUCCUUCUUAUCUGCAGGUUAAAAUCUAGAUUGUCCUUUACCCUUAGAAGUUCAAAGAAUGAGGACCUUGCCUGAUGAAAAUUGGAGGGAUUUUCUUUGAUGGAAGGGUGAAAAAGGCACCCCCUGACACACAUCCGAUAACCAGUUUCUAAAGAUGUGUGUGAACGGGAGUAACCUUAAUAAUCUCAAGGGGAUCAAGCUCUUCAUUUCAUAGGAGUUAAGGUUCUAAAAAGGGGAAUAAAUGUCUCAGAACCCAAAGUUACAGAUCGUGUAAACGUUUGAAAACAGAACCACUCCCAUUACAAGAUUGUUGUGCCUGAUAAGAUACCAGGAAAUUUUACUAUUAUGACUUAUGAACUGUGUCAGGAUACACUCCAGAACCACCGACAACCUUUGCAAAAUUCCAUUACUGGGCUCCAAGUACAUUCGCAGGGUUCAAAUUUGCGCAGAAAAAUCAGUGUUCCAUUGAUUCUGGGUUCUAUGUUUAUCUCUUGGCAUACCAGCUUGGCUCAGAGGACAGCUGAUAGGCCCUGUUGUUGUCAAUGGAACCAUCAUUGCCAACGAGACGUGGGCCUGGUAAUCUUAUUGUUAAGGGUAGAUAAGAAGUGAAUUUACCUUUUCAUUCAGGACGGGCAAAGACAUGUACUCCAAUCCCAAAUGAAGCUACUGAGCAGGCCGCAAUGAACCACCAGCUGAAAGUGGAAUGUUGACAAAGCAUGAGAAACGGUUGCCCCUGCUUAUCUAGUUACUAGAAUGUAAAACACUAUGAACAGGUCCAAGUCAGAGAAAAACAAUACAAAAUUUGACAUUCUGGGCCUGGCAUGAGGAAAGCUGCAAGUGUUUACUAGUGAGGUAGGUUAGGAUUAGGAAAAGCAAAAGAAGUUGCAGAUGAGAGGCUGUUUCUCUUUGGCUAGAAGUGAGUUUACUCAAAGCCGCGUCCCGUCCAGUGGUCAAUCCCACUUUCACUGCACCAGCGUAGAAUUUUUAAGCCUGAUUGUCAGGACAUGCGUGUUCAAAAUGCGCCAAACCUGUCAUUAAUCUAGUCGUUAAAACUUCUGGUAAAGGGCUUACCGCGUCAGGUUUCUGCUAGAUUGGCUUUGGAAUGGUUGUCAAUGUCCACAGGGUAUUGAGUUUGCCUACCAUGCUUGGCAAAAGUGCCAUCAUUCCGGGGCAUCAUUUGCCUAAUUAGUUGACACUUUUGCAACAUGGUUGUUACUUGAGAGAAGUACAUGUUCUAUAAAGGUUAGGGUAUGGACCAAAAGAGAGGGGGAAUAUAAAACUUAUGGAGUUGGGCCACCUCAAAAAUGUUUGCAAAUUAAUGGAAGCAAAGGAUGUGAGAGGUCCAUUA